AGAAGUUAGUCUAUCGUAUCGGAU
rnacentral:siRNA from 1 species